rnacentral:rRNA from 1 species
UACAGAGGGGGCAAGCGUUGUUCGGAAUUACUGGGCGUAAAGGACGCGUAGGCGGCCUUCUAAGUCGAACGUGAAAUCCCCGGGCUCAACCCGGGAACUGCGUCCGAUACUGGAAGGCUUGAAUCCGGGAGAGGGAUGCGGAAUUCCAGGUGUAGCGGUGAAAUGCGUAGAUAUCUGGAGGAACACCGGUGGCGAAGGCGGCAUCCUGGACCGGUAUUGACGCUGAGGCGCGAAAGCCAGGGGAGCAAACGGG